GUGAAAUCGACUUGUAACUUUACACAACGUGGCACCAAUUAUCGGCAGUGUGUGACAGUUAUCGGCACUUUUAAUUGAUUUUUAAUUAAUGACAUUAUUUCUUUUGCAAGGUGAGGGGCAAUGUGGUAUUAGUGAGCUCUAUCCAUGGAUCACAAGUUCAGUACAAAUUUCUGGUAAAGGUUCACACACAUGUAAAGUUUCAAAGGAAGGAGAAACAUAGUUUGGAUCACGCCUGGAUACAGGCAAAACAACAGGGUUUGACACAUCAAUGACAGUUUCUUGGCUAGGGGCUUCUACAACAUCAGAUGAAUCACUACUUUGAGGGAAAGCUGGGAUGGAAGGCAGUUUGGCAGAGGUUGGAUUGGCAAGAUAAGCAGAGGGCAGAUUGACAGAGGGCAGAUUAGCAAUACUGGUAGAGGGAAGAUUGGCAAUAUCGGCAGAGGGCAGGGUGGCAAUGGCAGAUUGGCAAUGGCAGAGCGCAGAUUGGCAAUAUAGGCAGAGGGCAGAUUGGGAAACUCAGAAUCUUUAUUACAGGAUAACCUGUAUACAUGUUGAUUGAAAUAAGAGAUAAAUGUUUUCAAUCUGUAUAUUAAUUGUUUUGUUAUUGUUAUAAGUUUGAUGUUUGUUUAGAUUUUUUAGUUUAAAUUGUAAUUGUUUUUUUAAGCAAUUUUUUAAGUGCUUGAUUCAUACUUUAUUAUAAAUUAAUAUGAUAUAUUUUGAUAAAGUCAUUGGAUUACCUGCAUACAUGUAGAUUAAAUAAAAUAUACAUGCCUGCAAUCUGUAUAUUAAUUGUUAUUGUCAAAGUAGGUAUAGGACCUGGUCUGGUGGCUUGUUCUGGCACCCUGCCUUCGACUUUGUCCUGAAGGGUGGUCCUGGGGACAUUGAACAGCCUUGCUGCCCUAGCUUGGGGCAUGCCACUUUUUACCAUACUAAUGGCUGCAGCCAUUUUUGACUGGUCAUACUGACACCUUUUGCGUUGUGCAUACAUGAUCUAAGUGGAAAAAGAAACAAAAACUGUAUGAAUUGUAUUCUUUUAUUACUAUAUAUUAUGAUGUAUAUAUUAUCAAAGGAUUUUUAUCUAAUAAACAUGUUUUUCUUUUUUUAAAGAGUUUCUGUUUUUAUUAAGUCACACAAUAUAACCAUCUGUACAUCAUUCCAUCUACUGCUGAAUCUCGACGCCAGCCAAACGAUGCUCAUGUCUUGCUCUGAUUGCAUGUCAAUAUAGAUGGAGUAUAUUGCACUAAGUGCCACAUCACUUUUUCCUACCCUGUCAAUGAGUAGGCACAAAAGCUCAUAGAGUUUAUGGUGAUCAAACAUGUACUCGUGCAUGUACAUUUCUUCAAGUUUUUCUGUUAAAUUUUUCUUAAGGAAUGGGUCCUUAAGCACUCCAGAUAUCUCUCUGGCACUCAAACUGGCCGGUAAACUCAUUUUCCUAAAACAUAUAAAAAAAUCAAUUAGAC